UACGUAGGGGGCGAGCGUUGUCCGGAUUCAUUGGGCGUAAAGAGCUCGUAGGCGGUUUGGUAAGUCGGGUGUGAAAACCCCAGGCUCAACCUGGGGACGCCACCUGAUACUGCUAUGACUUGAGUCUGGUAGGGGAUCACGGAAUUCCUGGUGUAGCGGUGAAAUGCGCUGAUAUCAGGAGGAACACCGGUGGCGAAGGCAGUGAUCUGGGCCAGUACUGACGCUGAGGAGCGAAAGCGUGGGUAGCAAACAGG
rnacentral:rRNA from 1 species